CUGCCCAUAUCAGAGGGAUAGCCACUGGAAACGGUGAUUAAUACCUCAUAAAACUGAGAAUACACAUGUAUGCUCAGCCAAAGAUUUAUCGGUAUGGGAUGGACCUGCGUCUGAUUAGUUAGUUGGUGAGGUAACGGCUCACCGAGGCGACGAUCAGUAGCCGACCUGAGAGGGUGAUCGGCCACAUUGGAACUGAGACACGGUCCAAACUCCUACGGGAGGCAGCAGUGGGGAAUAUUGCACAAUGGGCGAAAGCCUGAUGCAGCAACGCCGCGUGAACGAAGAAGGCUCUUGGGUCGUAAAGUUCUGUUCUGAGGGAAGAAGAAAGUGACGGUACCUCAGGAGAAAGCCCCGGCUAACUACGUGCCAGCAGCCGCGGUAAUACGUAGGGGGCAAGCGUUGUCCGGAAUUAUUGGGCGUAAAGAGUACGUAGGCGGUCUGUUAAGCGCAAGGUGAAAGGCAUAGGCUCAACCAAUGUGCAGCCUUGCGAACUGGCAGACUUGAGUGCAGGAGAGGAAAGCGGAAUUCCUAGUGUAGCGGUGAAAUGCGUAGAUAUUAGGAGGAACACCGGUGGCGAAGGCGGCUUUCUGGACUGAAACUGACGCUGAGGUACGAAAGCGUGGGGAGCAAACAGGAUUAGAUACCCUGGCAGUCCACGCCGUAAACGAUGA
rnacentral:rRNA from 1 species